rnacentral:rRNA from 1 species
GAUGAACGCUGGCGGCGUGCCUAAUACAUGCAAGUCGAGCGAACAGAUAAGGAGCUUGCUCCUUUGACGUUAGCGGCGGACGGGUGAGUCACACGUGGAUAACCUACCUAUAAGACUGGGAUAACUUCGGGAAACCGGAGCUAAUACCGGAUAACAUAUUGAACCGCAUGGUUCAAUAGUGAAAGGCGGCUUUGCUGUCACUUAUAGAUGGAUCCGCGCCGUAUUAGCUAGUUGGUAAGGUAACGGCUUACCAAGGCAACGAUACGUAGCCGACCUGAGAGGGUGAUCGGCCACACUGGAACUGAGACACGGUCCAGACUCCUACGGGAGGCAGCAGUAGGGAAUCUUCCGCAAUGGGCGAAAGCCUGACGGAGCAACGCCGCGUGAGUGAUGAAGGUCUUCGGAUCGUAAAACUCUGUUAUCAGGGAAGAACAAAUGUGUAAGUAACUGUGCACAUCUUGACGGUACCUGAUCAGAAAGCCACGGCUAACUACGUG